rnacentral:rRNA from 1 species
GAUGAACGCUGGCGGCGUGCCUAAUACAUGCAAGUCGAGCGAACAGAUGAGGAGCUUGCUCCUCUGACGUUAGCGGCGGACGGGUGAGUAACACGUGGAUAACCUACCUAUAAGACUGGGAUAACUUCGGGAAACCGGAGCUAAUACCGGAUAAUAUAUUGAACCGCAUGGUUCAAUAGUGAAAGACGGUUUUGCUGUCACUUAUAGAUGGAUCCGCGCCGCAUUAGCUAGUUGGUAAGGUAACGGCUUACCAAGGCGACGAUGCGCAGCCGACCUGAGAGGGUGAUCGGCCACACUGGAACUGAGACACGGUCCAGACUCCUACGGGAGGCAGCAGUAGGGAAUCUUCCGCAAUGGGCGAAAGCCUGACGGAGCAACGCCGCGUGAGUGAUGAAGGUCUUCGGAUCGUAAAACUCUGUUAUUAGGGAAGAACAAAUGUGUAAGUAACUAUGCACGUCUUGACGGUACCUAAUCAGAAAGCCACGGCUAACUACGUG